ACCCCUAAGAGGGAUGGCCAACUCCACCGACUUCGCCAACGCUGACAGAGGCGCUCACUUCUGAUUCAACUCUGAACAACCCGGGGUGUGGCACAGUUAGAACAUCUGGGGACAGCUAGGGUCACGGUUUUCUGUGACCAGUCCUUGGAAUUCCAGUUUCGCUGGCCCCACAGCAGCCGGCCAACUGCGGAGGCCUAGUCCGCUCCAUCACACCGCUUUCCUAGGGCCACACGGAGAUGAGAAGCCCGUCACUGAGCUCGCUCCGCUUCUGCCUCAGCCACCGGGGCUCCGCAGCGGAGCCCACCCCGGGAGUCUCUCUCCACCACAGAGCCCUGCGGUGACCUGGCAGUCACAACCGCACCUACCCGUCUCUGCGCGGCGCCACUGGCAGUCUCGUCCGCUGGGGAGCCUCACUAGCAGCUUUCGCCCAGUUUUGGAGCUUGUCUGCAGGCUGCUUUCACUGCGAAGCCCUGCUGGUGGUUUCCUGACCCGCGAGCGUCACCUGCGUCUACCUGCAGCCGAGCUCCUGGCCACGCCCAACAGGAAGCCCCACACCCAGGGGAACCGCCCCGCAGAGCCCCCCCCCCCCCGUUGUUCUUGCCAGACCGCCUAGCCAAGCCGCUACAGAUGACCGCAGUGAUUUACCUGCGGUGGCCUCGCCAGAACUCAGAGCUCAGCAAGACAGCCCUGCCGAGCUGCAGGGCCGGGCAGUGUAUCCUGCCCAGUAGUGGACCGUGAGACCCCAACAGUGACCCUUAUCCCAUUGCAGACCCUGGCGACAGGUCACCCACCAGGCAAAAACGGACCAGCUGGUCCUGCUGAAUCUCUGAACCCACCAGGCACCCCCUUCACCCUCCAGAGUUGAUUCCUGACUCACAGUGAACACUACCAACUGACUUGUCCUGAAUUGUGGGCUGGCUGAGGUGGGCUCGCACCCUCAGGAGUUUCGAGGUGAAAUCUGAAACUGGUUCCAUACAUGGAGGACAAGGAGAGACUGAAGAAAGAGGCAGACCACUACAGGUAGAUGUUCCAGCAACGUCUGUAGGGGGUCCUGCAGCAGAAGCAAGUCUUCACAUAUUAUCGUUAUAUCAUCAAUGUAAUGAGCCCAUUUUACUGAUGUGUGCAAGAAGAACAGGGGAAGGUCUUGGGUUACCAUCCUAUUACAUACUGUGGGUUUAUGCAGAUAACCUAGAAGAAGGACUUGAAAGAUCCGUGAUGCCCCUCCCACAUAAAGGUAAAUUGAUCUUGUGACUUAGCAGCCAGGGAUAUACUAAAAAAUAGUAUUUGCUAAAUCUA